rnacentral:rRNA from 1 species
AAUGCUGACAUAAGUAACGAUAAAGCGGGUGAAAAGCCCGCUCGCCGGAAGACCAAGGGUUCCUGUCCAACGUUAAUCGGGGCAGGGUGAGUCGACCCCUAAGGCGAGGCCGAAAGGCGUAGUCGAUGGGAAACAGGUUAAUAUUCCUGUACUUGGUGUUACUGCGAAGGGGGGACGGAGAAGGCUAUGUUGGCCGGGCGACGGUUGUCCCGGUUUAAGCGUGUAGGCUGGUUUUCCAGGCAAAUCCGGAAAAUCAAGGCUGAGGCGUGAUGACGAGGCACUACGGUGCUGAAGCAACAAAUGCCCUGCUUCCAGGAAAAGCCUCUAAGCAUCAGGUAACAUCAAAUCGUACCCCAAACCGACACAGGUGGUCAGGUAGAGAAUACCAAGGCGCUUGAGAGAACUCGGGUGAAGGAACUAGGCAAAAUGGUGCCGUAACUUCGGGAGAAGGCACGCUGAUAUGUAGGUGAAGUCCCUCGCGGAUGGAGCUGAAAUCAGUCGAAGAUACCAGCUGGCUGCAACUGUUUAUUAA